CAAGACCAAAUUUUGAAAAACAUUUAAAUAUGAUAAUAAUGAAAGUAAAAUAUAAGACUCUUCAGUAGUUGCUGUGUUUGGAGAAAACAUCGAAAUAGAAGAUUUUAGGGGACGAGGUAUUGUGUGUUUUUGUUUUUAAUUCAGUUGUAUGAUGAAUGUAACAAACUAAUUAGAAGGAACUACAUAUAAAUUAGCACCAUUUUAAAAUGCCAGGCAGGUUUGAUCCCUGGGUCAGGAAGAUCCCCUGGAGAAGGAAAUGGCAACCCACUCCAGUAUUCUUGCCUGGGAAAUCCCAUGGAUGGAGAGCCUGAUGGGCUACAGUCCAUGGGGUCACAGAAGAGUCAGACAUGACUUAGAGGCUAAACAGCAACAGCUUAUUUAAACAUGGGAUGUGUUCUAAGAAGCAUUCCUGAAGUACAGAAAUAUUGUUUCUACUGAAAUAGCCUUUUUGUAAACAAAGAAUAUUUCUUGCUUCUAACUUAUAAAACCUCAGAUGGAACAUCUAGACAGAACCAAAUACAGGUUGGUGGUUAAAACUAUGAGUAUAGCGUUUUACUAUUCUGUUUUGCUCACCCUUGAGUUUGAAAAGGUGGAGUGAAGGUCAAACCAGUAACACUAGGGGGUUCAUGGAUAGCAUACAAUUUGGCUGCAUUGCUCCUUAGCAUACAUCAACAUGUCCAUAUGGACAAACCCAGAAGCUUGAGACUUCGCUGGUCCCAUGUUCUGUUCUCACCGUCAUCCCCAAAGACAGAACCUGGGAAACAACUGGGGAACCACCCCAUGUACCUGCCAGUCUCAGCUUGUGUCCACCUCUCAGCAUGUCCACGGACUUCCUGUGGGUGCUGGCCUCUCUGCUGGGCCAGCUUUGAGGGAAGGGCCCUGGGGCUAGGUGGUGAGAAGGAGUUGGUACAAACUGAUAGCGGGGGUGAAAACCUAAAAAGCUGCACAAAUAUUCUGGAACUUUCAGUGUGUGAAUCUAAGGAGACACAUUUAUGACUUACUUGAAGAUUCCCUGGAGGAGGAAAUGGCAACCCACUCCAGUACUCUUGCCUGCAAAAUCCCAUGGACAGAGGAGCCUGGCAGGCUACAGUCCAUGGGGUCGCAAGAGUUGGACAUGACUGAGCACACACACUAUAUCACACUAUAAAUUAAAAAAAAAAAAAAAAAGAUGAGGUGAUACUUGGUGAAAAUGUUAUAAAAUAUUCAUAUUUUAUAGCUAAAUAAGAUAGAUAAAUAUGUGUUUCUCUUAUCAGGAGCUAGCCUUAGGUGUAAUUAAGCAUGAUUAAAGGGAAAGCUCAGCACUGGUGUAUAUUUGACCUAUGUUUAAUACAUUAGUCAUAAAAUACUUCAAUCUUCUUGUGAGACCAGUUGUGUUAUUAGUUGCGUUUUUGUUGUCCCUCCUGAGUCCCUGUCUUCAUGCAAACACACUGAAGACACUCCAUGCACUGAACAGGAAGAGGAAAUGUCACACGAUUCUCUUUUAAAGCAGGAAGUAAAGUGCCUUUUCCCCUUUGAACAUUGAGGCAGAGCAGUGCUUGCGAAGCUAUCUGUGGUGAGUGUGGUGAUGGACCCGUGUUUUGAAUUUCCCAUUCUUGGCAGACAGGCACUUUUGUAAAAGUAAAAUGUUGCACUGAGAUCGGAUUGCUAUAAGAGUUUCUCAACACUUGCUCUCAGUUCCUGUACACAUUCUUGCAGACAAGCAGAAAGAGCUUGCAAUGUGGCACUGGUCUAUAGAGCGCACUAAAACAGGAGUUUCAGGCAAGAAUCAAUAUAUUCCGAUGUUAUUUCUCUGGGAGUUUGGGAUUUUGCCAGCAUGAGAGGGCAGUGCUUUUGUUUUGUUUUGCUAUUGGGCCAACCAAGGCCAUGGUGUGGAGUUGUCUGGUGUGUGCCUUGCUCGGGACACCUGACUGAAGAGGUGCGUGGGGGCUGGGGUCUCUCUUCUGAGUCAUGACCCUCUGUUUGGCAGAGCUCCUUGGAUCAGUCAUCAGACAGUCCCAGUUACAUUUGCUACUUUUUGAGAAGGGUUCCAUGGGUUUCUACCUUCUCUCAGCAGAAAUUAGCAAGAACCUCCUUUUGAUUUCAGUUCUUUAUGCUUAACAAGAAUCUUCACAUUUCUUUCUUUACUGGAUCUUAAGCUCCUGUGGGAAGGAGUGUGGAUCUUACAUCACCGUGACUAGACCAGUGCUCAGACUAAUAGCAAAUGAAUUCCAAAUCACAAGUUGGUAAUGAAAGCCACGUGCAGAUGUUAACCUUCUUAAAGAAGCAAAGAAUCAUAGUGUGAUGAUUUCCUUCCUUCCUUCCUUUUUUAUUGAUCCAAAACUUGAAGAGACCAAGUUUUUAGAUGGAGUCUUGGGGAGAGAAGCUUCCUGAAUUUAAUGAUACCUCAACAUAUUCAUCAAGUCAGAGUGACCUAUGAAAUGGCCACAAUAGACGUAAGAGGUCAAAUCAAGUAUGGCUAAUGUUUUAUCUGCAGUGAAGUUAAAAUUAACCAACAACAUCUAGUUCAUCGAGAAACAGGUUCUUAAACAAAUAUGGCUCAUGAAAGAACAUUAUUUAUUGGGGUCAUGGACUCCUAAGAGUGAACAGAACCUUAAGAUGUCCGGAGAAUACACAUCUCAUGUUCCCUCUGCUGUGGAAGAGGACUGACCACAGCCCAGACUCUGCAGAGCCUCCAGGCAGGUCCCAGGUAGGAGGCAGCCAGGUAGGGUGGGGCUGGUGUGGCAAAUAGGGCACAAGGGCAUAGCAGCCUGAAUCCACAAAGCCGUGGCAGGUACGCCGGAGCCCAGCUCGGGUGUUUGUCAAAGUUAGAAGCUGAAGGAUGCACCCCUCAGCGUGCAUGACUGAAAUCAGGAAAAAUGAAGGCCUGGAAGCUUAUCACCAGCACAGAGCCAAUAGCUUCUGGUGGCAAAUGGGAUAGGAGAGAGUUCUCAAACAUCAGGUGGCUUGUAAGGGCUCUUCUCCACCAGACACAUCCAUUUUGCGCCUUGGUUACUGAGGGUCUUCAUGCAUCUGAAAGACACUGUGCUCGGCCUUCACAGGCCCCAUGGAUGGCAAGCUAAUGAGGGCACAGGUUCAAUGUCUAUAAUAGGGAAGAGAUUUGAGCACAUCCGUGAAUUUCAAUUCUGUAUGGGGUGUUAGUGCGAAUGACAAAUGUUUAUAAGCUUCAGUUGCUGUUUUAUGAUUAAUAUGAAAUACUGCCCAAGCCUCAGUCCUGCCAGAAAUGCAAGAAAUAUUUUCUAACAUAUUCUGGGUUCUGUUCCAGCUGUUUGGUGGUAAGGACAGAAAACCACUUAAGUCAGUUUGAUAAGGAGAAUCCCACAGACCAACAGGGCAGGAAGUACGGCCAGUCCUCCUGGAAGGCGCGCCUGGGGCCUGAGAGCCAAGAAUUAGAGUUUCCAGCUGCAUCUCUCAUGAGUCACGGAGAGAUGGUCUCAUCGCUCCCGAUUUCCCGCCUCACUCUGACUGGUGGCCUUUUAAGACGAGGAAGAGGAGAGCAGCCAAGACGGUGGAACAGAAAGACCUUGAGCUCACCUCCUCUCACAAGCACACCACAAUCACAACUGAGAACAACCACUGAUGAAGGGCCUCCCAGAGAAGAUCUUCUACAAUUAAAGACAUAAAGAAGGAACCACAGUGAGAGAGCUGUUUCUGUAUUCCAAAAAUUAUAAGAUGCUGGUGGAAGAAAUUGAAGACAACACAAACAGAUGGAAAGACUCAUCAUGUUCUUGCAUUAUAAGAAUCAGUACUGUUGAAAUGACCACACUACCCAAGGUAAUCUACAGAUUCAAUGCAAACCUAUCAAAUUACCAAUGGCAGUUUUCACAGAACUAGAGCAAAAACUUUUAAAAUUUGUAUGGAAACACCAAAUAACCAAACAAUCUUGAGAAAGAAGGACAGAACUGGAGGAAUCAUGUGCCCUGACUUUAGACAAGACCACAAAACUGUAGUAAUCAAAGCAGAAUGGUACUGGCACAAAAACAGACCCUAGAUCAAUGGACUGGGACAGAAAAUGGAGAAAGAAGCCCACACACUUAAUGAUCAAUCAAUCUAUGAUGAAGGGGGCAAGAAAACACAAUGGAGAAAAGACAAUCUAAUAAGUGGCUCUGGGAAAACUGGACAGUUUCAUGUAAAAGAAUGAAAUUAGGACAUUCUCUAACACCAUAUACAAAAAUAAACUGAAAAUGAUUAAAGGCCUAAGUGUAAGACCAUAUAUCUUGUGACUCUUAUAAGGGUGCUUACUAAUCUCAUUCAUGAGGGCUCCACCCUCCUGACC